rnacentral:rRNA from 1 species
UACGAAGGGGGCAAGCGUUGUUCGGAAUCACUGGGCGUAAAGCGUACGCAGGCGGACUGAAAAGUUGAGGGUGAAAGCCCAGGGCUCAACCCUGGAACGGCCUUCAAAACUGUCAGUCUAGAGAUCGAGAGGGGAGUGUGGAAUUCCUAGUGUAGAGGUGAAAUUCGUAGAUAUUAGGAGGAACACCAGUGGCGAAGGCG